AAACAAUGAAGCCCUUCACAAAAGGAAGGCAUUUCUGAUGUGACGGAGGUAAGUUCACAUGACACAACAGUUUAGUUACUUGGAAUGUCUCGCAAGGUCUUGCAAGUUGAACUACUUCUUUAAAGUACGGUCUGUUGUUUGGCACACACACCUUUAGGUUUCCUGUGGCUGCUUCUUGGUGGAUCAUUACGUUUUUCAGUGGGCAGAAUUGACAACUGAAGAAGGCUUUCAAAGAACUGUUACUCUAUUUAUCCAACUUGAAAGACAUGAUUCUUGAGAAAGUAUAAGAGAGACACCUACUGGAGAGAACAAGAUGUAUCUCGUUAUCAGAUGAAUUUUCAGUUUCAGGGAAAUAAAACAACUAUGUGUCUACUGCCCUAAGAUUUUAUACCAUAUACUUUAGAGAUGAACAUGUUACCAUAGUUAUGAAGAUUUAUUUAUGGAAAUAUGUGAACAUCACAUAAUCAAUUGUCAUGGGAAGGCUAAGUUUGAUUCAAAAGAUAAAUCAGAAACCACUUAGGUAAAUCAAACAAGUAUUGCUUAUCUAAAUGAUACAGAAGAGAGGCCAGCUAGGAUAUACAGCUCCAAUUGAACAGUUCCCAGAAGAGAAUAAGGUAUAAGUUUUAGGUCCCGCUCCGCGACUACUUGGAGUAGCUGUGGCUGAAUAGUUCUGAGAGAUUAAAUGUCACAUAAACCUGGAAGCUCAGUUGCACCAAUGCCACAACAAGUCCUGCUUUGUAUAAAUAAAUUUGGAAUAAUUCUUCGUAUAUGUUGGCCUGGAUAUGUGCUGAGGACACUGUAUCAAUCUUCUACAAAAUACAACGUUAUUAUAGUACACUCACAGAUGCUGUGUCUUAGUCAAUUAUGACUGGUAUAAUAGAAUACCAGAGCUUGGGGACGUAAACAACAAAAUUUAUUUAUCAUUGUCCUGGAGACUGGGAAACCCAAAAUCAAGGUGCCAGCUGAUUCAGUUCCUGGUAAGAAUCAUCUUCCUGGUUUUCAAAAGAGGCCUUCUUUCUGUAUCCUCACAUAGUAGAGGGAAAAAAGAUCCUCUCUCUUCCUUUUCUAUAAGGACAUUAAUCCCAUCAUGAUGGCUCCACCCUCUUGACCUAAUGUAACCCUAAUUACCUCCCAAAGGUCUCACCUCCAAAUAGCAUCACACUGGCAAUUAGGCUUCAACAUAGGAAUGAUUAACAAUACUGAAUCGUGCACUCAAAAAAAUUGUCAAGAGAGUAGAUCUCAUGUUAAGUAUUCUUGCCAUAAAAAAGGAGAGGCAUGAGGAAACUUUUGGAGGUCAUGGAUUGGUUUAUUACCUUGAUCAUGAUGAUAAUUU
rnacentral:lncRNA from 1 species